AAUCAACGCUGGCGGCGUGCCUAACACAUGCAAGUCGAGCGGGAAAGGGGGCUUCGGUCCCUGAGUAUAGCGGCGGACGGGUGAGUAACACGUGGGUAAUUUGCCCUUGGGUGUGGAAUAACUCAGGGAAACUUGAGCUAAUACCGCAUGACAUCCCCUUCACACACGAGUUGGGGAUCAAAGCCGGGGACCCUUCGGGGCCUGGCGCCUGAGGAGAAGCCCGCGCCCGAUUAGCUAGUU
rnacentral:rRNA from 1 species